rnacentral:rRNA from 1 species
GGUGCGACACACAGAGGGCAAUAGAGUCUGUCAAAUUAAGUGCCAGCUGACGCGGUUAAACUUAAGGGCUGGUUUUUAUAAGUAAAAAGGCGUAAAGGAUGUGUAAGCCACGAAAAGAUCCAAGAAAGUAAACGGAAUUUGUCUGGAGCGGUAGAAUGUGAUGAUAGAAAAUAGAACCCCGAAAGCUCAAACUAUUUACCACCGAGGCGGCUGAGACAUACCAUGAAAGCGUGGGGAACAAACAGGAUUAGGGACCCUGGUAGUCCACGCUGUGAACUCUGGAAAGGAUGCGUAGCAGACCCAAAAGGGGAUUUUCCCGCCUGAGUAGUACGAUCGCAAGAUUAAAAUACAAAAACUUUGGCUGUCUACUAUUUCGAUUAGAGGAGCGUGUCGUUUAAUUCGAUGGUCCGCGCAUCACCUUACCCCAACUUGAAUCCGGGACCGGUAUUGCAUGGCCGUCGUAAGUCCGUGUGUUAAGCAAGAAGGGACUCAACCCGGGCGCGAGCCCGGAGGAAGUCAGGUCUUAUGAUCCGAAAGUUGUGGGAUUUUAUGCGCUACAUUUUUUUAUAGAAUGGGGACAUAGGGAAUCUCGAAAGUAAGAGCUCGAAAGGUCGUUGUAAAACGACUGGAAGUAGGAUUUAAUAGUAAUCGGAAAGUAGCGCGUUCCGGUGAAUUAGUACGAGUGUUAGUACAAAUUGCCCGUCACCUUUCCCCGAGAUAGAGGGAGAGGAA